GGCCCCUCCUAAGGCCGCUUCCUGUUCUGCUCCGUGCCGCCUCGGUCCCCCAGAGAACACCCAUUCCCUGAGACUCCUUCCCCUCUUCCCACCUCCUCCUCCCCCCUUCCCUGACAUUCCCGGCGCGUCUCAGACUUCGGUCCUUCCGCUUCUCCUGGGUCACUUCCUGGGCAGCAGGCCCUGCGGACGCUCUCCUCCAGGAGCCGGAGAAGCUAGGCCAGGGACGCCGACCCACCACCAACUCUGAAGGAAGGGAGGGGGCUCCCAGAGAACCCGACUUACCUUGACACCACAGGAUCCCUACAUUUGAGGUCAUGAAAUACUGCUGGCCAGAUAUUUGUGGAAUCCUAACAGGAGAGCCUUUGAAUACCAGGCUAUGGAAUUCAGCAACCAGUGGAAAAUGAAAUCUGCUAUCUGUGGGGCAGACCCACGUUUAUGCCAUGGAUCACAGAGCAUUUAAGGAGGUCUACAGAGGAAGAUUCAACUGCUCAGGGAAGGCAGAAGAAGACGCUGAGACCCAAAGGGAUUGUGUUUUGACCAGUGUUUUAUGACAGUUGCCAGAAUCUGAACCCAAGACAACUGACUACAGAUGUGGUAGUCUAACUAAUGCAAGAUACUAUCUCAAUUAAUGAGAUAUUUUAUCAUCAUCAUCAUCAUCUCUCUCUGUCUAGCCUUUGCCCUUUCAACAAUAUGGCACCAGACUUAGCAAUGGUAGGCAGCCCAAGAGCAUCUAUUCAAACCCCUCAUUUUACAGAUGGGAAACUGAGGCUCAUGGGGAUUAAGUGACUUGCCCAGUUUCAUGAGUAAUGUGAUGGGUAGAUCCAUCCCAAUGAGAGCAGCAGAGCCCAUGAGUCAGACUGUUAGCAGACUGCAUAAAUGACGAUACAGAUAGGAAAGGUAGAACUGUUGUGGGAUAGAGGAGUUGGCCAAUCUCUAGGGUAAGCCAACUAGCUGACAUAUUCCAGACCUUGGAGACCUCUGAAAGCCCUUUCGAGGAUAUGUCACAGACUCUCAGUGGCAAACAGCUCAUCUUAUGUCUAAAAGUCAGUUAUGGUACCUGGAAAACAAGAUACAUGGCCAUCAGUUGCUGACAAACCAAGACUUAAUGAUUUUUUUUCUCUGAAAAUCUGUGUGGGAUGUUUGACAUCACCUCUGUGGUAAAGGGCUGGCAGAGAAACUACCAGCCAGGCAGCUUAGAAAGAGAGAACCUCAGAGCUGAAAGAGUGCUUAGGAGUCAGCAGGGCAGAGAUCUAAAGCUGGGAGGGUCUUACGAUGCUAUUAGUUCCUCGCCAUCAUUUUAUAAAGGAGAAAUUGGGGUCCAGAGGGAGGGAGAGAUGUGCCUAGUAUCACACAGCUAGUGUUAGGAGCAGGAUUUGAAUGCAGGGCUUCUUGAUGCCAUGGCCAGCAAUCUAUCUACUAUGGUCAUCUGGCCUUAUUGCUCUCAUAAUGCAGAAGAGAAAACUAAGGCUCAAUACAUCAGAGUGAGUUCCCUCAGAUCCCAUGAGAUCCAGCACUCUAGCCUAAGCUUUUCCUACUUGCACUCUAUCGGCUCUCAUGGCUAGCAUUUGGGGAAAGCAUAGUGAUGGCAGAAUCAGGAGGUAACAUCAUGUGCUAGAAUGCCUGGACUGCCUUCCUAACGGUAGUCAUGAAUAAGUGUUGGCCUUUGUGUGUACUCUUUCCCUAUCUCCAACUAAGUCCCGUCCCCAUUUUCAGGUGAUUAGAAAUGCUUUUUAAAAUUUAAUGUGAUUUUAUCCUCUAAAAUUCUGGUGAGAGUAGCCUAAGAGAUGUGAAGCAUGAUAAAAGGGACAAUACUUUUUAAAAAAAAGUUUAUUUAUUUGUUUAAUUAAUAUAGAAUAUUUUCCCCCUGAUUACAUGGUUCAUGUUCUUUCCCUUCCCUCCUCCCACCCCCUCCCAUAGCCAAUGAGCAAUUCUGCUGGGUUUUACACGUGUCACUGAUCCAGACCUAUUUCCAUAUUAUUGAUAUUUGCACUAGGGUGAUAAUUUAGAGUUUACAUCCCCAUCAUAUCCCCAUUGAACCAUGUGAUCAAGCAGUUGUUUUUCUUUUGGGUUUCUGCUCCCACAGUUCUUUCUCAGGAUGUGGAUAGCAUUCUUUCUCAUAAGUCCAAAAGGGACAAUUCUUAACAACUAUUCACAGUUUUUUUAGACCUUUAUUUUAUGUCUUAGUAUCAAUUCUAAGACAGAAUAGUGGCAAGGGUUAGGCAAUUGAGAUUUACUGACUUGCCCAUCCAGAUAGGAAGUGUCUGAGUUUACAUUUGAACUCAGGACCUCCCGACUCCAGGUCUAGUGCUCUGUCCACUAGGUGGCCCUAACAGCUCUUUAAUAGUUGUCUCUAAGGUUUCAUAGGAUGAUCUUGACUGGAUUAUCUGGAGCAGAGAAAAUUCUUCAUAAACCCUAUAGAAUGGAAGUUGUGUAAUUAUUAAUAUGACUCGAUUACUCAUUUGCCCCCACCCUCACCCUCCCAGAAUAUGACCUCCCCCAAGCCAGACAUCUCUUCAAUGCCCUCCAUGGUCAUUCUGGACCUUCCUGGGAUGUUCCUCUGACCUUUUUAUCCUUUCCUCUUCCCCAUGAAGUCUUCUCUUACUACACCAGCCCAUCCCUUCCUAACUGCUCCUAAAAUGAUCAUAGAUAGAGUCACACAUUUUGAGCUGGAAAGGACUGAAGAGGUUACCUAACCCAGCACCCUAAUGUUCCAGAAGAGGAAAGUCCAUGGUGGAGAAAGAACCUAUUCAAGGUCCCACAGGUACUAGGAUAAGGAUUUGAACAUAGAUUUUUGAUCCCAAAUCCAGUAUUCACUCAUUCAUUUCCUAGCUCAGUCAAUAAACACUGAACAAUGUAUCAUGAUUCCCACAAUAUGAGGGAGUUUAACAAGAUGACUUCUAAGUCUGAAAUUCUAUGACUGUGUAGCAAAGGACCUGGGUUCAAUUUUGGAUUUGCCACUGACUGGCAGUGAGGAAUUGAGCCAGGCCUUUCCAAACCCCUCUGAAUCUUGGUCUCCUCUUCUGCAAAAUAAAAAAGGUCAGCCUUAAUGAUCUUUAAGUCUAAAUGAUGAUCUCCAGUUCUAAAUCAAUUUUUUUAAUCAAUGAGUGUUUCUUAAGUGCCUUCUACAAGCCAGAUGAUGUGGACAUAAAUGCAAGGAAGGAAAUAAUGUCUAUUAAAGUUUCAUUUAUUUAAUUGCA